AGUGAGUAUCNCCUCAAAUUGCANAUUUGAAAAAGUUCCUAUUUGGUCCCAGGGCUU
rnacentral:tRNA from 1 species